CUAGACUAGGAUGCUGUAUAACUUGCAGACCUUUUAGAGAUAUUUACUUCUGCAGCAUUUAAAAACCUGCAGUGCAGAUGUCCACACAUCUCCCUUCUAACCAGGUACUUCUUGAAGCAACUAAGUGGUGUUUACAGGUGCUUUAAAUGACUGACUUCAGUUCCCCUUCACUAGUGGGUGAUAGUGGGGAUUCAUAAGCCAGCUGCAAUCAAUUGCAUCAUUUGUGUCUGAGCAAGCCCUGAGGGCACCUGGAGCCUUAAUUACCAAGAGCAGGCUCACCUGUUCUCACCCUGCAGUCUGACUAUAGUUGCAUUUCUGUAACUCAUAAGGCUUUCGUGCUACUUUUCUUCUUUUUUGGUACUGCUUGUGCCAGCCCUGGGAAGCUCCAGCUCGCAGAAGGCUAACGUAGAAAUGCUGUGACUGAAUGUCUUCGUUGCAUUUAAUUUUCAGCAGUGAAGCUAGCAGAAUCUAGGAGCAAUAAACUAAGGCAAAGCAAAGAUGGUCA
rnacentral:lncRNA from 1 species